AUGAACGCUAGCUACAGGCUUAACACAUGCAAGUCGAGGGGCAUCAGGAAGAAAGCUUGCUUUCUUUGCUGGCGACCGGCGCACGGGUGAGUAACACGUAUCCAACCUGCCCUUUACUCGGGGAUAGCCUUUCGAAAGAAAGAUUAAUACCCGAUGGCAUAAUGAUUCCGCAUGGUUUCAUUAUUAAAGGAUUCCGGUAAAGGAUGGGGAUGCGUUCCAUUAGGUUGUUGGUGAGGUAACGGCUCACCAAGCCUUCGAUGGAUAGGGGUUCUGAGAGGAAGGUCCCCCACAUUGGAACUGAGACACGGUCCAAACUCCUACGGGAGGCAGCAGUGAGGAAUAUUGGUCAAUGGGCGCUAGCCUGAACCAGCCAAGUAGCGUGAAGGAUGAAGGCUCUAUGGGUCGUAAACUUCUUUUAUAUAAGAAUAAAGUGCAGUAUGUAUACUGUUUUGUAUGUAUUAUAUGAAUAAGGAUCGGCUAACUCCGUGCCAGCAGCCGCGGUAAUACGGAGGAUCCGAGCGUUAUCCGGAUUUAUUGGGUUUAAAGGGAGCGUAGGUGGACUGGUAAGUCAGUUGUGAAAGUUUGCGGCUCAACCGUAAAAUUGCAGUUGAUACUGUCAGUCUUGAGUACGGUAGAGGUGGGCGGAAUUCGUGGUGUAGCGGUGAAAUGCUUAGAUAUCACGAAGAACUCCGAUUGCGAAGGCAGCUCACUGGACUGCAACUGACACUGAUGCUCGAAAGUGUGGGUAUCAAACAGGAUUAGAUACCCUGGUAGUCCACACAGUAAACGAUGAAUACUCGCUGUUUGCGAUAUACAGUAAGCGGCCAAGCGAAAGCAUUAAGUAUUCCACCUGGGGAGUACGCCGGCAACGGUGAAACUCAAAGGAAUUGACGGGGGCCCGCACAAGCGGAGGAACAUGUGGUUUAAUUCGAUGAUACGCGAGGAACCUUACCCGGGCUUAAAUUGCAGUGGAAUGAUGUGGAAACAUGUCAGUGAGCAAUCACCGCUGUGAAGGUGCUGCAUGGUUGUCGUCAGCUCGUGCCGUGAGGUGUCGGCUUAAGUGCCAUAACGAGCGCAACCCUUAUCUUUAGUUACUAACAGGUCAUGCUGAGGACUCUAGAGAGACUGCCGUCGUAAGAUGUGAGGAAGGUGGGGAUGACGUCAAAUCAGCACGGCCCUUACGUCCGGGGCUACACACGUGUUACAAUGGGGGGUACAGAAGGCAGCUAGCGGGUGACCGUAUGCUAAUCCCAAAAUCCUCUCUCAGUUCGGAUCGAAGUCUGCAACCCGACUUCGUGAAGCUGGAUUCGCUAGUAAUCGCGCAUCAGCCACGGCGCGGUGAAUACGUUCCCGGGCCUUGUACACACCGCCCGUCAAGCCAUGGGAGCCGGGGGUACCUGAAGUACGUAACCGCAAGGAUCGUCCUAGGGUAAAACUGGUGACUGGGGCU
rnacentral:rRNA from 1 species